GGGCGUAAGAGCUCGUAGGCGGUUUGUCGCGUCUGCUGUGAAAUCCCGAGGCUCAACCUCGGGCUUGCAGUGGGUACGGGCAGACUAGAGUGCGGUAGGGGAGAUUGGAAUUCCUGGUGUAGCGGUGGAAUGCGCAGAUAUCAGGAGGAACACCGAUGGCGAAGGCAGAUCUCUGGGCCGUAACUGACGCUGAGGAGCGAAAGCGUGGGGAGCGAACAGGAUUAGAUACCCUGGUAGUCCACGCCGUAAACGUUGGGCGCUAGAUGUAGGGACCUUUCCACGGUUUCUGUGUCGUAGCUAACGCAUUAAGCGCCCCGCCUGGGGAGUACGGCCGCAAGGCUAAAACUCAAAGGAAUUGACGGGGGCCCGCACAAGCGGCGGAGCAUGCGGAUUAAUUCGAUGCAACGCGAAGAACCUUACCAAGGCUUGACAUACACCGGAAACGGCCAGAGAUGGUCGCCCCCUUGUGGUCGGUGUACAGGUGGUGCAUGGUUGUCGUCAGCUCGUGUCGUGAGAUGUUGGGUUAAGUCCCGCAACGAGCGCAACCCUCGUUCUAUGUUGCCAGCGGGUCAUGCCGGGGACUCAUAGGAGACUGCCGGGGUCAACUCGGAGGAAGGUGGGGAUGACGUCAAAUCAUCAUGCCCCUUAUGUCUUGGGCUUCACGCAUGCUACAAUGGCCGGUACAAAGGGCUGCGAUACCGUAAGGUGGAGCGAAUCCCAAAAAGCCGGUCUCAGUUCGGAUUGAGGUCUGCAACUCGACCUCAUGAAGUCGGAGUCGCUAGUAAUCGCAGAUCAGCAACGCUGCGGUGAAUACGUUCCCGGGCCUUGUACACACCGCCCGUCAAGUCAUGAAAGUCGGUAACACCCGAAGCCGGUGGACUAACCCUUGUGGAAGAGCCGUCGAA
rnacentral:rRNA from 2 species